rnacentral:rRNA from 1 species
UACGUAGGGGGCAAGCGUUGUCCGGAUUUAUUGGGCGUAAAGAGCGUGUAGGCGGCCGUACAGGUCUGCUGUGAAAACUCGAGGCUCAACCUCGAGACGUCGGUUGAAACCGUACGGCUAGAGUCCGGAAGAGGAGAGUGGAAUUCCCGGUGUAGCGGUGAAAUGCGCAGAUAUCGGGAAGAACACCCGUGGCGAAGGCGGCUCUCUGGGACGGUACUGACGCUGAGAAGCGAAAGCAUGGGGAGCGAACAGG